GUAGGUGAACCUGCGGAAGGAUCAUUAACCUUUCAAAACAGGGUGCGUCGCGGCCCCCGAGGUGCGGAAACAAGCCUCGAGCGGUUUGGGGUCCUCCCCUUCACGCGCGCACGACUGCCAUCCUUACUUUACGAGCACCUUCUGUUCUCCCUCGGCGGGGCAACCUGCCGUUGGAACCGAAUAAACUCUUUUUGCAUCUAGCAUUACCUGUUCCGAAACAAACAAUCGUUACAACUUUCAACAAUGGAUCUCUUGGCUCUG
rnacentral:misc_RNA from 1 species